AGUCGACUAGAGUUUGAUCCUGGCUCAGGAUGAACGCUAGCGAUAGGCCUAACACAUGCAAGUCGAGGGGCAUCACAUGAAGUAGCAAUACGGAUGGUGGCGACCGGCGCACGGGUGAGUAACACGUAUGCAACCUGCCUUCAACAAGGGGAUAACCCGUUGAAAGACGGACUAAUACCCUAUAACACAGGGGUCCCGCAUGGGAAUAUUUGUUAAAGGACAACCGGUUGAAGAUGGGCAUGCGUUCCAUUAGCUAGUUGGCGGGGUAACGGCCCACCAAGGCAACGAUGGAUAGGGGAACUGAGAGGUUUAUCCCCCACACUGGUACUGAGACACGGACCAGACUCCUACGGGAGGCAGCAGUGAGGAAUAUUGGUCAAUGGGCGCAAGCCUGAACCAGCCACGUCGCGUGAAGGAAGACGGCCCUACGGGUUGUAAACUUCUUUUGCAAGGGAAUAAAGUGGGCCACGUGUGGCCUUUUGCAAGUACCUUGCGAAUAAGGAUCGGCUAACUCC
rnacentral:rRNA from 1 species